CAUCUCUGGUUCCUCUGCAUCCAACGAGAAAAUCUUUCGCCUUUUACUAAAGAUUUCCGUGCAGAGGAACGUUUAUGAGUAUACGCCAAUUUUUGGAGUCCCGGCUUCGGCCAGGGAC
rfam:Ascaris lumbricoides genome assembly, scaffold: ALTE_scaffold0000014